AAUAUCAUGACGUGCUACCAGCAUCACAUGACUACCACUGUCAUAACAAUAUUUAUGUAUGUAUCCAUCUAUGUAACAUCAAAAAUUGAUUUGGAGAUCAGUUAGUUCAAAAAAAGAAAAAGGCAUGAAAUUAUAAAGUGUGUGCUUUACUAAGAAAUGAUGAGUGUCAAUGUUUUUUCCACUCCAUUUAUAUGAUGUUAUUUAAAUUAAAUUGAGUAACAGUGAAAUCAGAAAUGUGAAACAACUUUUAAUUUUUCCACUCUGCAAAAGGAAGGCAUUAAGUACACAACUAUUUUAUGGUGAAACAUGAGUUACAGCAAAGGAAGUAAUACACUUGUUUAUAUUGUAUUCCAAAGUAGAAUAUUUUAUCAUGUAUUAAUUGUAGCUAAAAAACAUAUUAUUGUACUUGCUAAAUUAUUUAUUAUGAAUUCAUUUCUAAAAAGCAUAUGAGAUAGCAAUUUCUUUUAUUAUGUUAUGGCUUUUUUUUUCAAUUCAUGUAUUAUUCUUUCUGUUGUUUAGUUCAACCAUGAAGUUUUAGUUACAUUAAAGUGCCAACUCAAAUUCUAUCUAGAGCAAAUUGAUUUUGAGUAUGUUAGUAUUAUGGAAUUGAUACAAGCUUCCCCUAGUGGUGAUGUUCAAAUAUUAAAGUUGUGAAAUAUUAUGUAAAUUAGAUAAUCACAUGAAAUCUAACCUCUUGGUCUAACCAAUAAAUAAAAAUCCUUUGAUCUUAAAAAUGGGUUAGUUCAUGAGAUAUAGUUAGAAAGAAUUAUUCCUUGAUAUCGUUAUUGAUAUUGAAAAGUGGUACAAUAUAUAGUUAGAACGAAUUAUUGCUUGAUAUCAUUAUUGAUAUUGAGAAUUUGUUUAAUUUUGAAACAUUGUUAUUCUCUGGUGUAUUAGGUUUUUUAUUUGUCUGGUUCUUUUUUCUAAUUUCUUAGAUGUUUAUUGAAAUUGAUCACAUUGAGAUUUAUAUUGUAUUUUUUAUUAACAGUUGUACCUCAUCCUGGCCAGUCACAAGUUUACUAAUUGUUUUUAUGGGGUCUCUUAUGAACUAUUGGCCAUGCUAUUUUACUUGGAAUUGAAGAAGAGCACGAAAACUUCAUUCAAAAAUACAUCGAGGAAUACCAAUGUGUUGAAGG